rnacentral:lncRNA from 1 species
AAUAAUUAAUAUAUCAUGUGAAGGUUGCAAAAGCCCUUAGAUUAUUUGAUUUUGACUCACUCUCGAGACUGACAGUCUCAGUUGUAAUUUUAUUCAGGUGACAGUUAAAGACUUUCGCCUUCGCACAUUCGACAGUCCGACUUCUUCUUUUUCGGACUUUUGUAAUUAUCUUGUACUUGUAUACUUGUCAUUUUUACUCUAGAGUAUCCGCAGUAGGAAAUUUUAAAAUUUGUAUAACUAUUCUGACUCUUGUUGGUAGUUUGAUGAUGUAUUAUGCAAGACAAUUAUGACUAUUUUAUAUUUGGUUAAUUGUAUAUUUGGAUUUGCGGGUUGGUAAGGCUUACUACGGGUUUCGGUGGCCUUAAGCCUACCCAUUCCCUAGUGCCGGUCACGGGCCCCCAGAGUGGGUCGUGACAAU